CCAGGACUUCCCAAUGUAAGCACCAAGGGCUUGAGACCAAAAGAAUGUUCUAGAAUUCUGAAAACUUACCGGUUUAGAUGCCUAGGAUUGAGAAUGUUGAUUCUAUACCCUAAUGUAGAGAAUGGGGAGGCAUGAAAGCCGUCUUCCUGUCACCAAGAAAGAGAAGAAAUGUUCUACCAGUUUGCCUGCAGAAAGGCCUCCAUGCCGACUGAGGCCCAGGACAGGCCUGAGGCUCCCAUGGCACAGAAAAGGAAGAGGGCCAGAAAGCCCAGAGGAGUUUACAGGCAGCUGGCCUGGGAAGCUGCGGGCCCUAGAGAGCAGGUCCGCAUUUAGCGUGCAGCCACAGAGGUCAAGGGGCUGUGGCUACAAGGGUGGCCCAGGCCCUGCACACCCCGGCACAGUGAAGACAACAGCCAAGAGCACCCAAGUCCUCAUGGAUCCGAGGCCACGGCCGCCAAGGACAUCAAGGGCCUGUGUUCCAGCCCGGGAAGGACAAGCACAACUCGUCCAAGGCUUGCAAAUAAUGGGGAGGAAGUUGUCACGGACCCUGGAGCAGCCAAUAUUCGCUGCUGCCCACCGCAGGGGCAGAACAUCUAUCAAGCCAGGCGUUGAUUGAACCAUCUCUGCGCCAGGCUCCCUAGCACUCACAAAAAGCCACCAGGCGAGCAGGCAGCAGUGUCCGGCCGUCACUGAGCAGAGCAACACCCGAGAGCACGGACACCCAAAGGAGCCUCCCUCACCAUUGACACCUUACAAGGCCAGAGACUUAUUUCGAUGAUGCAAUUAUCACCCCAAUCCUCGAGAAACUCCACUUUUAGAAUCACUGCCAGAGGCAGUCGCCAGACCACACAGAAAAUUUUUUUUCUUUUCUUUUUUCUUUUUCUUUUUCCUUUUUAGGGCCACACCUGCAGCAUAUGGAGGUUCCCAGGCUAGGGAUCUCAUUGGAGCUGUAGCCACCGGCCUACACCACAGCCACAGCAACUGGGGAUCUGAGCCGCGUCUGUGACCUACACCGCAGCUCAUGGCAAUGCCGGAUCCUGAACCCACUGAACGAGGCCAGGGAGAUCGAACCCACAUCCUCACAGACACUGUGUCAGGUUCUUAACCUGCUGAGCCGCAACGGGAACUCCCAGAAAACUUUGUCAUUGCAUUAAGCUUAGUCUCAUGUUUGCCCCCUCCCCUCAGGUAUUAGUCCCCGCGAACAGGUUAUCUCUUUGGGAGGUGAUCCCAGGAAAUACAAUUGAGAGGGUGGAGAAAGUGAGCUAAGAAAAGGGGAAAAGACAAAAUGAGUGCGUUAGUAAGCAGAUCGCCCUGUGGGCCACUGACCCGCUUGGGACCCUCCUGGAAACUGUGGAGAAUUGUCCCACUGAGCAGUGAUGAGAAAGAGACACUGACCCGUUUAUCUCUCCUGCCUCCUUGGUUGAAUCUCUCCAAGGAUGUGUUAUCCCGCUGUUAUCCUGCCUGUAAGCCGCUUGGAAGGGCCUUCAUCCCUUCCGAGGCCAGACAGCC
rnacentral:lncRNA from 1 species